rnacentral:rRNA from 1 species
GUGCCUUAUGCAUGCAAGUCGAACGGUCUUAAGCAAUUAAGAUAGUGGCAAACGGGUGAGUAACGCGUAAGUAACCUACCUCUAAGUGGGGGAUAGCUUCGGGAAACUGAAGGUAAUACCGCAUGUGAUGGGCUGACAUAAGUCGGUUCAUUAAAGCCGCAAGGUGCUUGGUGAGGGGCUUGCGUCCGAUUAGCUAGUUGGUGGGGUAAUGGCCUACCAAGGCUUCGAUCGGUAGCUGGUCUGAGAGGAUGAUCAGCCACACUGGGACUGAGACACGGCCCAGACUCCUACGGGAGGCAGCAGCAAGGAAUCUUGGGCAAUGGGCGAAAGCCUGACCCAGCAACGCCGCGUGAGGGAUGAAGGCUUUCGGGUUGUAAACCUCUUUUCACAGGGAAGAAUAAUGACGGUACCUGUGGAAUAAGCUUCGGCUAACUACGUGCCAGCAGCCGCGGUAAUACGUAGGAAGCAAGCGUUAUCCGGAUUUAUUGGGCGUAAAGUGAGCGUAGGUGGUCUUUCAAGUUGGAUGUGAAAUUUCCCGGCUUAACCGGGACGUGUCAUUCAAUACUGUUGGACUAGAGUACAGCAGGAGAAAACGGAAUUCCCGGUG